GUGGUGAAAUAUGAAUCCUCUAUCCGCAUCUCUAUUUGUAUAUAGUAGUAACCUAACUAGCCUUCUCCUUGUACACAAAAUCAAAACCAUCAUAUAUGCUAUAAAGCCGCAAUACAUUCCUAAAUCGUGUGGUAUUGCUAAACCUCAUUCUAACCGAAAGUUUGGUGGUUCUUUUAAUAUCUAUGGAUUCAUUGAAUUCAGGAUAAUUAGAACCCUGAAUGCUAGCAUCUGAAUCACUAUUAC
rnacentral:lncRNA from 1 species